AUCCCCAUUCAAAUCAAUGUUUUAAGUUAAGAUGGGCCUGACGCUGACAACAGCCAUGGGUGAUCAUCACGGUGCUCAGCAGCUACUCCGGCUGGGCCCUGUCUGCUGAGGGUUUCCUACUAAGCAACAACCUGCUCAACAUCGUAGGGGCCCUCAUCGGCUCCUCAGGGGCCAUUCUCUCCUGCGUCGUGUGUGGGGCUAGGCCAUGA
rnacentral:lncRNA from 1 species